CCUAACUUUACCGUUCUCUCUCUCCAAAGAAGGCAAGCUUGUAGGUAAAUUUGAUCAAAACCUACAUGAUUUAGAGCAAAAUUCAUGGAGGUUCAUCAUUUGAGGGUUCCUCGGGUCUCCAAAAUAUCACGCACUUGUGAUUUGCCAUGAACAGAGCAAGUUACAGACUGCCUAGAGGAAGAAUCCCAGACAAUGAAGAAGGGUGAAUUGCACUACAACAAUUGCACCUGGAAUAUGCCUUUUGUUUCAUCAGAGUCGAAGCAAGAUUUCGCUGUUGUCCAACUAAGCUGUGAGGUCGAGCUUGUUUCCUUUAUCAAGGUGUGUAAUGUUUUCUCUUUUUAGACAGAAGCAAUGCAUUAAAAUGGAUACACAUUGCCUGAGAUGUAAAGGUGCCAAUAAAGUUGCUCUAUUACUUAUU